UUUUGUGGGGUGCUCGAGUGGCGAACGGGUGAGUAACACGUGAGUAACCUGCCCUUGACUUUGGGAUAACUUCAGGAAACUGGGGCUAAUACCGGAUAGGAGCUCCUGCUGCGUGGUGGGGGUUGGAAAGUUUCGGCGGUUGGGGAUGGACUCGCGGCUUAUCAGCUUGUUGGUGGGGUAGUGGCUUACCAAGGCUUUGACGGGUAGCCGGCCUGAGAGGGUGACCGGCCACAUUGGGACUGAGAUACGGCCCAG
rnacentral:rRNA from 1 species